rnacentral:rRNA from 1 species
ACUACGGGUGGCAGCAGUGAGGAAUAUUGGUCAAUGGACGGAAGUCUGAACCAGCCAAGCCGCGUGCAGGAAGACGGCUCUAUGAGUUGUAAACUGCUUUUGUCCAAGGAUAAACAUGAGUACGUGUAUUCAGCUGAGAGUACUGUACGAAUAAGGAUCGGCUAACUCCGUGCCAGCAGCCGCGGUAAUACGGAGGAUCCAAGCGUUAUCCGGAUUUAUUGGGUUUAAAGGGUGCGUAGGCGGGUUGUUAAGUUAGAGGUGAAAUGUCCGGGCUGAACUCGGGAACUGCCUCUAAUACUGGUGAUUGAGAGAGUAGAUGCGGUAGGCGGAAUGUAUGGUGUAGCGGUGAAAUGCUUAGAGAUCAUACAGAACUCCGAUUGCGAAGGCAGCUUACCAAUCUAUAUCUGACGUUGAGGCACGAAAGCGUGGGUAGCAAACAGGAUUAGAUACCCCAGUAGUC